rnacentral:tRNA from 1 species
GGUAAAAUGGCUGAGCAAAGCAUUAGACUGUAAAUCUAAGGACAGAGGUUAAUGUUCCUCUUUUUACCA